rnacentral:rRNA from 1 species
UACGUAGGUGGCAAGCGUUGUCCGGAAUUACUGGGCGUAAAGCGCACGUAGGCGGAUCAUUAAGUCGGGGGUGAAAUCCUGGAGCUCAACUCCAGAACUGCCUUUGAUACUGGCGAGCUUGAGUUCGGGAGAGGUGAGUGGAACUGCGAGUGUAGAGGUGAAAUUCGUAGAUAUUCGCAAGAACACCAGUGGCGAAGGCGGCUCACUGGCCCGAUACUGACGCUGAGGUGCGAAAGCGUGGGGAGCAACAGG